rnacentral:lncRNA from 1 species
AACAAUUAAAAACCAAUUGUUCAGAGAACAAUUGAAGGUCUUUCCACUAGUAAAGAUCUAUUAUGAUAUGGAAAUAUGAAAAAUCAGUUUAAAAUGUUAGUUCCUAUGGCUUUAUGAUGUAUUAAUAUCAAUUUAAAGCAAAGGUCAAAAUCUAGAACGUCCUAUUAACCUAUGACCUGACCUCAAUUUCAAGUCACAAACCAAGGAUCUUAAUCAAAAGACACUAGGUCUUUAAUAUGUUUGGUUAAAGAGUAAUAUCACUUUACGGGUAAACCUAAAUAUAAGAUGGGCAAAAACUCCCAUUUAUUAUUUGCGCACCCUUUCAACCAAAAUAUACAAGUAAGGACAUGUCGCAAAUAACAAUUUAUGAAAAAUUAUUUGUCGAUAUGUCAUACGGUAUUUGAAAAUCAGUGAAAAUAAGCAAAAAUCAAAAUUUA